rnacentral:rRNA from 1 species
AGCAGCCGCGGUAAUUCCAGCUCCAAUAGCGUAUAUUAAAGUUGUUGCAGUUAAAAAGUUGGUAGUUGAAUUUCGGGGUUCUACCGUUGGUCGGGCUUUGUCUGUACUGGCGUGUAGAAUUUCUACCUUCUGGGGAACCAUCAUGUUAUUAAUUUAACGUGGUGGGAAACCAGGACCUUUACCUUGAAAAAAUUAGAGUGUUCAAAGCAGGCUUAUGUCUGAAUACAUUAGCAUGGAAUAAUAAAAUAGGACGGUGGUCCUGUUUUGUUGGUUUCUGAAUCACCGUAAUGAUUAAUAGGGAUAGUUGGGGGCAUUAGUAUUCAAUUGUCAGAGGUGAAAUUCUUGGAUUUAU